rnacentral:rRNA from 1 species
CCCCUAGACGUUCUGGGCUGCACGCGCGCUACAAUAAUACGCACAGCGAGUAUCACCGAGCUCGAAAGGGCAAGGUAAACAAUAGAAAAGGUACUGUAAUGGUUAUAGAUCCUUGUAAUUAUUGAUCUUCAACGAGGAAUUCCUAGUAAGUAUGUGUCAUCAUCACGCACUGAUUACGUCCCUGCCCUUUGUACACACCGCCCGUCGCUCCUACCGAUUGGGUGAGCCGAUGAAACUCUCGGAUGUAGGCUAUUCAUAGCCCGCAGAAGAGAUUUGAAUCGUAGCGCUUAGAGGAAGGAGAAGUCGCAACA